UAAAAAUGAGAGAGAGAGAGAGAGAAUCAAUUUUUGUUAUUUUGACACCUGAUUGUCACAACAUGUGUGUAAAAAUUGGUGUUAUUUUGAAAGAGAGAAGAGGUUAGAAGAGAGAAAGAAUCAAUUUUUUUUGGCACCUGAAUGUCACUACCUUAAAAUUGGUGUCAUUUUGAAAGAGAGAAGGUUAGAAAAUGAGAGAGAGAGUGAGAGAAGCAAGCAUUCUUUAGUAUAACAUAAAUAUUUCCCUUCACAUUUUGAUUGAUUAAAUAUUGUUUAACGUCCCUCUCGAGAAUCUUUCACUCAUAUGGAGACGUCACCACUGCCGGUGAAGGGCUGCAAAAUUUAGGCCUAUGCUCAGCGCUUACGGCCUUUGAGCAGGGAGGGAUCUUUAUCGUGCCACACCUGCUGGGACACAGGACCUUAGUUUUUGCAGUCUCAUCCUAAGGACUGUCCCAUUUAGUCGCCUCUUACAACAAGCAGGGGGUACUGAGGACCUAUUCUAACCCGGAUCCCCACGGGAUUUUUACAUUUUGAAGCUAUCCAUGAAUUUCAAUACAUGUGUAUAAGAAUCCAAUGUAUAUAAUGUUCUUUAUCACUUAGAAAGAAUGGAAGAAGGAGGUUUACAAGAUAGAGAUAAUAUGCAUAACUAUAAACUUUCUAAUGUGUUGUCUUUCAGUAGAGGUGUGUAUUGAUCAAGAUUUUCCAAUACGAUACAAUACAAUAUUUUCUGAUGCGAUAUCUGAUAUAUUGGAUUUACAAUGUAGUUAAGCAUUUUCUGAAGUAAAAUAUCAAAAUUAAAAAAAAUGAAGUGGUUUAAUAUCUUUUAUUUCAUAACAAAACAAACAAUGACAAUUAAAGUCUGAGGAAACACCAAUGUCACAAUGUAAAAGCGGGGCUUAAAGUCUGAGGAACCUCUGAUGUCACAAUGGAUAUUGCAGUCAAUGACUGUGAUUCAUCUUAUAAUGCAAAAGUUGGAGAUACGCUCCUACAGUGAAGGACCCUGAUUAUGAACCAGACCACUGCUCCGACAGUGAUUCAGACUCUCUAAUUGAAGAAAACCAAGAUGAUCUUCCUGACAGUUUUAGGAAAGUGACCUCAUGAUAGAAGUUUCAGAAUGUCCUACCAUUGAUCCUGGAAGUGAAAAAGUAUCUGAUAGUGAAGAAAGCUACAGUAGCAUAGAGAGUGAAAACUAUCCCAUGCUCUCUAGAAAGAAAGAAAAAGACAUUUCUUUUUAAGCCAUAAGGUGUUCCCAAAAAUUCAAUUGGAAACUUCAACAAACUGCAUGCCUGCUUUUUUUUGAUAAGAUGAUUGCUAACAUUGCAAGACAUCUUGAACUAGCACACAAAGCAGAAGUUGAAGUAGCCAGGGUUUUAGCUUUCCCCCCAAAAAGCAAAGAAAGGGGAUAAAUGAGGGAGGAACUUCAAAGUAUUAAUGUGUGCAUUAUGUAUAAAUUUAUUUGAUGUAAUCACUAGUAAAACCGAUUUUGCUUAAUAUACAUUUUUUUCUAUGCACUACAUAAUUAUGUAGAUGCAAUAACUGGGACUUAACAUUUGAAAAGAAGUUGUUUGUGAUUCUUUGCAAUUGUACUAUGAACCUGUAAGUUACAUCAUUAAAUAUAAUGCUAGAUUCAA